CAAAACACUCUCUCUCUCUCUCUCUCUCAGUCAUGAAAAAAAAAUCAGACCUCACUCUCUCUCCCUUGCCGAUUAACCUACCUUCGAAUCGCUGUCCAUCACGCCGCCGCUGUCCUCCGAUCUAAGGCUUUACAGCGUCCAAUCCGGCGCUGCAGCUUUUCCCACCCAUCUCGCCAUCGCCGUCCUUCAUCUCCACUGGGAAUCAGGCCGGUAUAAUCGGUCCUACCCUCUGCCACCGCGGCCAUCCCCGGUCUCUUCCCCUCCCUCAGCCGCCCAAAACGCUCCUGAAGGUAGCUGACAUUAAAAGGAUGAAUGGCUUGGCAACAGAUCUUCAAAUGUUUGCUUUGAAGACAUUACAAAUACCAUUACCAGGAAGACAUCCACCAUCUCCCAGUUUGUCUAAUGGGUCUGCUUCUCAAGGGAAGCUAAUUGGAGCAAGGUAAUUUAACAAAGGUUAUGCCUUCUAUGCUGGCACUCUCAAAUCCUCCUUCUUUUUCACUGCAUGGGACUAUGAUGGCCAUGGCUCUCACACCUUAUCAACAGUUGGUGGUAACUUUGUUCCUGGAGCUAGGCUUUUAGGAUGGUACUAGCAGAGAUGGAGAGGACAACUCAAACAAUAACAUAGAGGUUGAAAACAACUUGGAGGGUGACUCGGAGGAAGACUAAUAUAUAUCUUGUCAUAAUUCUAGUUGUUUAGGUUUAAAUUAAUUUUAGGAUUUCUUUAUAUAUUUAUAAUUUUAAAGUUUGAACUUAUAUGAAUUUUUAUUUUUCGAUGGAUCAAUUUUUAGUAAUUAUUGGACUAUUGUAUCAAUUUUUAGUAA